rnacentral:rRNA from 1 species
ACGAACGCUGGCGGCGUGCUUAACACCUGCCAGUCGCACGGAAAGGCCUCUUUCGGGGGGUACUCGAGUGGCGAACGGGUGAGUAACACGUGAGUAACCUGCCCUUGACUUUGGGAUAACUUCAGGAAACUGGGGCUAAUACCGGAUAGGAGCUCCUGCUGCAUGGUGGGGGUUGGAAAGUUUCGGCGGUUGGGGAUGGACUCGCGGCUUAUCAGCUUGUUGGUGGGGUAGUGGCUUACCAAGGCUUUGACGGGUAGCCGGCCUGAGAGGGUGACCGGCCACAUUGGGACGGAGAGACGGCCGAGGCUCCGAGGGGGGGAAGAGGGGGGAAAGAUUGAACAAGGGGUGGAGGCGGGAUGCAGAAGGGCCGUGGGCGGGAGGACGGCCGUGGGGUGGAAACCCGCUUGCGUAAAGGACGAGGUUUGUUGGGAGGGUGGGGGAAAAGAAAGCCCCGGCUAACUACGUG